GCCGGGGUGCCCGAGCGGCCUAAGGGGGUAGGCUCGAGACCUACUGCCCCAUACGGGGCACGCGGGUUCGAAUCCCGCCCCCGGCG
rnacentral:tRNA from 1 species